GACGAACGCUGGCGGCGCGCCUAACACAUGCAAGUCGAACGAGCGAGAGAGAGCUUGCUUUCUCGAGCGAGUGGCGAACGGGUGAGUAACGCGUGAGGAACCUGCCUCAAAGAGGGGGACAACAGUUGGAAACGACUGCUAAUACCGCAUAAGCCCACGGGUCGGCAUCGACCAGAGGGAAAAGGAGCAAUCCGCUUUGAGAUGGCCUCGCGUCCGAUUAGCUAGUUGGUGAGGUAACGGCCCACCAAGGCAACGAUCGGUAGCCGGACUGAGAGGUUGAACGGCCACAUUGGGACUGAGACACGGCCCAGACUCCUACGGGAGGCAGCAGUGGGGAAUAUUGCACAAUGGGGGAAACCCUGAUGCAGCGACGCCGCGUGGAGGAAGAAGGUCUUCGGAUUGUAAACUCCUGUUGUUGAGGAAGAUAAUGACGGUAC
rnacentral:rRNA from 1 species